AUCACUUGUGAUAAUCAAAACAAUACUUUCAUUAUUAUGAGAAUUCAGAUAUGAAAUUUUUUUUUGAGACCUGAACUGAAGAGAU